rnacentral:snRNA from 1 species
GGAUGUGAGGGUGAUGACUGUGGCAUCUGUCACCCCACUGAUCGCUAGGGUUGACUGGCUGAUCUGGAUGGCCAGGUGGGUGUUCCCCCUUCCUCCCUCACUGCUCCAUGUGCGUUCUUCCCAAGACUGCCCAAUCCAUCAGUCAAAGAGGAUGACCUUCCCCAAACACAGACUGACCGGUCUUUGGCUGAAGGUACGAGUAGCUGCGUUCCCCUGCUAGAACCUCCAAACAAGCUCUCAGGGGAGCUCCCGCACUCUUCUUUGGGUAGGUCACCGUUGGCAUGAUUGAACAUCCCACGCAGGACACCUAGUCUUCUAGAG